rnacentral:rRNA from 1 species
GAUGAACGCUAGCUACAGGCUUAACACAUGCAAGUCGCGGGGCAGCAUGGGGGUUGCUUGCCACCCCUGAUGGCGACCGGCGCACGGGUGAGUAACGCGUAUCCAACCUGCCCUUCACCACGGGAUAACCCGGCGAAAGUCGGACUAAUACCGUAUGUUUUCCAUUGACGGCACCCGAUUUGGAGGAAAGGCUGGGCGGAGUAAGGAUGGGGAUGCGUCCGAUUAGCAUGACGGCGGGGUAACGGCCCACCGUGGCUACGAACGGUAGGGGUUCUGAGAGGAAGGUCCCCCACACUUGAACUGAGACACGGUCCAGACUCCUACGGGAGGCAGCAGUGAGGAAUAUUGGUCAAUGGGCGUAAGCCUGAACCAGCCAAGUAGCGUGCAGGAUGACGGCCCUAUGGGUUGUAAACUGCUUUUAUGCGGGGAUAAAGUGGCCCACGUGUGGGCUUUUGCAGGUACCGCAUGAAUAAGGACCGGCUAAUUCCGUG